GCUCCAACGUGUCCUCGUGGGUGCUCUCAGCGCCGGUGACAGUGACAGUGCACAGGCAAAUACAGCUGCCAGGUGCACCCCAAGAGGAGGGAUCAGUGCGGAAAUGCAGUGCCUGGCUCCGCAUCACAGUGCACAUGCCCAUGGCCAAUGCCACCAUCACUUGAAGUCCCCUGUAUCAUCAAGUGCACGCGGGUGACAACGUGACCCUGCACCACUCAGUGCAGGUGGGCUCAGCCCCUGUCACCUUCAUCUGGCUGCACAACGGGCAGGAGGUGGCCCAAGGUCCCCUCCUGGAGCUCAGGGCUGUUGAUGUGGGACAUUCAGGCACCUGCCAGUAUGUGGCAUCCAACCAGGUGGGACAGAAGGACACCAGGCUCUCAGCCCAGAACUGGUCCUGGAGGUGACACCUGGCUCAUCCUGGGUCACAGGUGGGGUCACACGGGGUCACCAGGGUGUUCAGGAACCCCAAGGUUCAGGUUGACCCUGGUGUGUCCCCUCUGUCCCCAGC